rnacentral:rRNA from 1 species
UACGAAGGGUGCAAGCGUUACUCGGAAUUACUGGGCGUAAAGCGUGCGUAGGUGGUUUUUAAGUCCGUUGUGAAAGCCCUGGGCUCAACCUGGGAAUGGCAGUGGAUACUGGAAAGCUAGAGUGCGGUAGAGGGUAGUGGAAUUCCCGGUGUAGCAGUGAAAUGCGUAGAGAUCGGGAGGAACACCAGUGGCGAAGGCGGCUACCUGGACCAGCACUGACACUGAGGCACGAAAGCGUGGGGAGCAAACAGGG